GACGAACGCUGGCGGCGUGCCUAAUACAUGCAAGUUGAGCGCUGAAGGUUGGUACUUGUACCAACUGGAUGAGCAGCGAACGGGUGAGUAACGCGUGGGGAAUCUGCCUUUGAGCGGGGGACAACAUUUGGAAACGAAUGCUAAUACCGCAUAAAAACUUUAAACACAAGUUUUAAGUUUGAAAGAUGCAAUUGCAUCACUCAAAGAUGAUCCCGCGUUGUAUUAGCUAGUCGGUGAGGUAAAGGCUCACCAAGGCGAUGAUACAUAGCCGACCUGAGAGGGUGAUCGGCCACAUUGGGACUGAGACACGGCCCGAACUCCUACGGGAGGCAGCAGUAGGGAAUCUUCGGCAAUGGACGAAAGUCUGACCGAGCAACGCCGCGUGAGUGAAGAAGGUUUUCGGAUCGUAAAACUCUGUUGGUAGAGAAGAACGUUGGUGAGAGUGGAAAGCUCAUCAAGUGACGGUAACUACCCAGAAAGGGACGGCUAACUACGUG
rnacentral:rRNA from 1 species